rnacentral:rRNA from 1 species
CCUACGUGAGGCAGCAGUGGGGAAUAUUGCACAAUGGGGGAAACCCUGAUGCAGCGACGCCGCGUGAGUGAAGAAGUAUUUCGGUAUGUAAAGCUCUAUCAGCAGGGAAGAAAAUGACGGUACCUGAUUAAGAAGACCCGGCUAACUACGUGCCAGCAGCCGCGGUAAUACGUAGGGGGCAAGCGUUAUCCGGAUUUACUGGGUGUAAAGGGAGCGUAGACGGCAGCACAAGUCUGGAGUGAAAUGCCGGGGCUUAACCCCGGAACUGCUUGGGAAACUGUGCAGCGAGAGGGCAGGAGAGGUAAGUGGAAUGCCUAGUGUAGCGGUGAAAUGCGUAGAUAUUAGGAGGAACAUCAGUGGCGAAGGCGGCUUACUGGACUGUAACUGACGUUGAGGCUCGAAAGCGUGGGGAGCAAACAGGAUUAGAUACCCGAGUAGUC